rnacentral:rRNA from 1 species
GCUUUACUGUAGCUUGGAAAUGAAUUUGGGUUUACUUUGCGCAGUAUAGGUGGGAGGCUAAGAUAAUAAGCUUGAGGGUUUAUUGGAGCCAUCAGUGAGAUACCACUCUAAGUAAACUAGGAUUCUAACCUUGAUAGUCGUUAACCGGCCAAGGCACAGUUUCAGGUGGGCAGUUUGACUGGGGCGGUCGCCUCCUAAAAGGUAACGGAGGCGUGCAAAGGUUCCCUCAGGCUGGUCGGAAAUCAGUCGUAGAGUGUAAAGGCAUAAGGGAGCUUGACUGCAAGACCUACAAGUCGAGCAGAGACGAAAGUCGGCCUUAGUGAUCCGACAGUGCUGAGUGAAAAGGCUGUCGCUCAACGGAUAAAAGUUA